AGGAGCGCCUUAAGGUGCUGGAGAACCGAAAGAGUGAUGCUGUGAUGAAGUGGAAGACUGGACUGGGAGAGAAGGCUGUGGAGCUCCUCACAGCGUAGACACUCAAACACGCCCCGGCAGUCCAUUCAAGACAAGCCAGGGCCAACAGGCAGGACCUGUAGCGGGGACUGGCAGAAGAUGUUAAUUCACUGUUUGGCACUUUGUUUGAAAUAAAAUGACUGAAUGUUACAUGGAAAUGCUGCCUUGUUUAUGAUU